ACCCAGCUGACGAGUCCCAAAUAGGGUGAAACGCACGUCCUGGAU
rnacentral:hammerhead_ribozyme from 1 species